GACGUAGGGCGCGAGCGUUGUCCGGAUUUAUUGGGCGUAAAGAGCUCGUAGGCGGCUUGUCGCGUCGUCCGUGAAAACCUGGGGCUCAACUCCAGGCUUGCGGUCGAUACGGGCAGGCUAGAGUUCGGCAGGGGAGACUGGAAUUCCAGGUGUAGCGGUGAAAUGCGUAGAUAUCUGGAGGAACACCGGUGGCGAAGGCGGCAUCCUGGACCAAUAUUGACGCUGAGGAGCGAAAGCUAGGGGAGCAAACAGG
rnacentral:rRNA from 1 species